rnacentral:rRNA from 1 species
AUUGAAGCUAGCGGCAUGCCUAACACAUGCAAGUCGAACGAGCGGCGAACGGGUGAGUAAUGCCUAGGAAUGUGCCUGGUAGUGGGGGAUAACUACGGGAAAGCGUCGCUAAUACCGCAUACUAUCGGAUGAGCCUAUGUGGGAUUAGCUAGUUGGUGGGGUAAAGGCUUACCAAGGCGACGAUCUCUAACUGGUCUGAGAGGAUGAUCAGCCACACUGGGACUGAGACACGGUCCAGACUCCUACGGGAGGCAGCAGUGGGGAAUAUUGCACAAUGGGCGAAACCUGAUGCAGCCAUGCCGCGUGUAUGAAGAAGGCCUUAGGUUGUAAAGUACUUUCAGCGGGGAGGCGUUACCCGCAGAAGAAGCACCGGCUAACUCCGUGCCAGCAGCCGCGGUAAUAC